GCUGUUCGUCUGGGGUUCCGCCGGCAGCUCCGGUUUCCUCCCACAGUCCAAAAAGAUGCACGAUAGGUUAAUUGGCGAUGUGCUGAAGAAGACUUUACAGAGUAGUUCAACUCACCUAUCAUCGAUACAAGAUCUCAAUGAGAAAUGAAUGCAAAUCUGGAUGGAAAAAAAAUGUCAAUGUUGCAUAAGCAUGUGGAAACAAACCAUUGACGAAUGUGCACCAUAAUCAAAGCUAAAUGCGGUCCAGUGAAAUAUUAAAGUGUGCAAUAAAGUGUAUAUAAACAACCAGUAAAUCAUGAUUAACAGGUAGAUAUUUGACUUACCUUGUCGAAUGAUGCAAAAUGCCCCCCUCCCCAGCCCAAAUAUAAACCACUAAUAUAAACAAUAAUCAGUCAAACUUGGAUGACUUGUAUUCUUUAUUAGUGAUCCAACAUGGGCGUAGCACAGAUAUUGCGGCCCCAGGGGCACUUUUCCACUGCACCAGGUGCCGUACUUUUGGCACUUCAAGGCGUUGAUUUUCCACUGCACCAGGUGCCGUACUUUUGGCACUUCGAGGCGGUGAUUUUCCACUGCACCAGGUGCCGUACUUUUGGCACUUCAAGGCGUUGAUUUUCCACUGCACCAGGUGCCGUACUUUUGGCACUUCAAGGCGUUGAUUUUCCACUGCACCAGGUGCCGUACUUUUGGCACUUCAAGGCGUUGAUUUUCCACUGCACCAGGUGCCGUACUUUUGGCACUUUGAGGCGGUGAUUUUCCACUGCACCAGGUGCCGUACUUUUGGCACUUUGAGGCGGUGAUUUUCCACUGCACCAGGUGCCGUACUUUGGGCACUUCGAGGCGGUGAUUUUCCACUGCACCAGGUGCCGUACUUUUGGCACUUUGAGGCGGUGAUUUUCCACUGCACCAGGUGCCGUACUUUUGGCACUUUGAGGCGGUGGAUUUUCCACUGGCAAAAAAAUACUGCUACUGCUACUGAAUGACAUCACAACAUGAGGCGAGGAAUUUUGUUCUGAAUUUGAAAAAUGGGUGUGGUAUAAUAUAUGGCUGGGGGAUGUGCAGUUUUAAUACUAACAUGACAUAUUAUGCACAUACAAUUCGCACAUCAAUAGUUAGCGAGACUGAGAUCAGGCUUUCUCUUUCAAUUUGCUACAAGGGGUUUAAGUUUUGCUGAAACAUUUUUACUCAUUUUUACAUAGGAAACAAAACUUAGCAAGAGUUGCAAUUUUAACGAUUGUUCCUUUCCAAGAUUAUCUAGUAUAUGUUUUAAAAUCAGUUUAAAGUUUACCGGCACUGAUGUUGCUUGAGCUCUGUAUGUCAUCUCCGAACCAAUCGUAAUCAUUUUCAUCCUUGCUGUUUAAAUCGCUUCUAGAUGGGUUUGUGAAAGAUUUAUUUUUUGUGAAAUAUCCCAGUAUUUGAUUUUUUUUCCAAUAUUGUGUGCCCUAGUGUAUUAAAUGUUUGUUUCUUGUCAUGUCAUCCAGAUCUUAUUGAAUCUGUUUAGUACGGUACGAGGAGUCCUGUACUUGGCGCAGUGGAAAAGCAGCCUAGGCCCCCGUCAGUGUUUUUUUUAGUGGGUACACCUGUUCUUUAACGCAAAUAGCCUGCUGUUCUACUGAGAGGGUCAUUUGGCUACAACUGAAAAUAUACAACAUGCAGGGUCAACAGGUUCUGUCACUGCAUAGCGAAGAUGCGAGAUCUCAGCAAUUUUUGAGAUAUGGUGGGAGCCACACAUGGUGGUUGGAGCAGGUCGGGAACCGCCGCCCUCCUGGCACUGUCUUACAAUGGCUUGUUUACACAAAACAGUGCAAUAAGCAAAAACAUCCAGUACGUCCGCAGUAUUGUGGGCAAAAACACCUCGUUAAUGAGACGGGUUAGAGGAAGGCGUCCAGACUCAUGAAACUUAACGGCAAGUCCACAAGUGCAAAAAUAACAGCUCACUAAAGCAGUGAUGUGCAGCAGGGUUCCCCAAAUAUACAGCUCGUCAUGCCUGCUUCUGGAGACGAAGGGACUCCUACCUGGAACUAUAUAGAGGAACCUAAUAGAGGCCAAUGAGUG